rnacentral:rRNA from 1 species
GAUGAACGCUGGCGGCGUGCCUAAUACAUGCAAGUCGAGCGAACAGACGAGGAGCUUGCUCCUUUGACGUUAGCGGCGGACGGGUGAGUAACACGUGGGUAACCUACCUAUAAGACUGGGAUAACUUCGGGAAACCGGAGCUAAUACCGGAUAAUAUUUUGAACCGCAUGGUUCGAUAGUGAAAGAUGGCUUUGCUAUCACUUAUAGAUGGAUCUGCGCCGUAUUAGCUAGUUGGUAAGGUAACGGCUUACCAAGGCAACGAUACGUAGCCGACCUGAGAGGGUGAUCGGCCACACUGGAACUGAGACACGGUCCAGACUCCUACGGGAGGCAGCAGUAGGGAAUCUUCCGCAAUGGGCGAAAGCCUGACGGAGCAACGCCGCGUGAGUGAUGAAGGUCUUCGGAUCGUAAAACUCUGUUAUUAGGGAAGAACAAACGUGUAAGUAACUGUGCACGUCUUGACGGUACCUAAUCAGAAAGCCACGGCUAACUACGUG